rnacentral:rRNA from 1 species
GAUGAACGCUAGCGGCAGGCCUAAUACAUGCAAGACGAACGGUAAGUUGAGUAGCAAUACUUAGCCAAGAGUGUCGUACGGGUGCGUAACACGUAUGCAACCUACCCUAUACAGGAGGAUAGCCUAGGGAAACCUGGAUUAACCCUUCAUAGUAUUAUUGGAUGGCAUCAUUUGAUAAUUAAAACUGAGGUGGUAUAGGAUGGGCAUGCGUCUGAUUAGUUAGUUGGCGGGGUAAUGGCCCACCAAGACGAUGAUCAGUAGGGUUCUGAGAGGAAGAUCCCCCCACACUGGCACUGAGAUACGGGCCAGACUCCUACGGGAGCAGCAGUAGGGAAUAUUGGUCAAUGGAUGCAAGUCUGAACCAGCCAUGCCGCGUGCAGGAAGAAGGCCUUCUGGGUUGUAAACUGCUUUUGCCAGGGGAUAAAAUUCCAUGCGUGGAAAACUGAAGGUACCUGGUGAAUAAG